ensembl:lncRNA
GGGCUCCUAGGCAGGAAGACUGAGGAGGAGAAGGGCAGGUGGAAGCCGACUGGAGUGUCCAGAAGGGGCCGGUACUGUCUGCUUUGAUUGACGAGGAAGUGGAGAAUUAGGAGGAUUUCCGUGAACAGAGGAGCCUGGCUGGCUACAAUGCAUGGGGUCACAAAGAGUCAGACACGACUGAGCAACUUCCACGUUCACAAGAGUGAAGCAAAGUAACACUGCUUUUUCUAGCUUGAGAUACUCACUUUCUCUGGAAUCAUCUGGGUGACUCAUGUCACAAGAAGUGAAGAGCAAGAUGAGCCAGGGCCUGUUGUCCGGGCCCGCCACCGUGCAGCGUCCUGGAAGGGAGCUGGGUGAAUCUUCGUGGGAAGCCCCAAGAACUGCCUCCUCAAAUGCCGAGAGAGUCCUAGUGGCUUGAUCAGAGCAGUCAGUCCUCACUGGGCCCUGUGGCAACGAAGCUGCCAAAACGAAACAAACAAAAACUGUGGCAAGCAGGGCUCAGCUGUUACGAGGCCGAUUUCCGCUGGUCUGUCCUGCCCGGGUCGUGCCAAGACCGCCCAGAUGCUGCCACCCUGGCAGGUGGUGCCUGGGGGACGGGGCCUGAAAUAGGACCUGCUCUGUAGGGCAUGGCCUUGGAGGUUUAGGAGGGUGCCUUCUUGGCCAGGCCUAGUGUUCCGGGAGCCGGAUGGCCUUGACGACGUGCUGGGUUUCUCAC